GCCCCCAAGAGAGACCCCUGCCCAACUGAGAAAGAAAAAACCCCAGCAGAUGUAUUGCCUACAAGAACAGCUGUAACAGGAAGCCCGCUGCCGCCUCGCUCAUUCACACCUCCAGGGAGACCCAUUCUCCGAAAAACCACAAGGACCUGGACUCACAACACCUGGAAAACAACAACCUAGCAAAGAGAAAACUUCCAGAAAGCAAGAAAAAGCUGACCAGAAAAUCAGAAAUCCCAGAGAAACGAAAGAAACGAAGACAAUGCAGAAGAAUAAGGAAGCAUGCUGGAACCCUAACCCUGGGACCCAGGGAGGAGGACCUAUCUCUGCAAGAAUAAGGUCAGUGAAGAAGUAGGCUCCUCCAGGAACUCACUUCAGUGGCUCGGCCAGAAACACUGCAGGACCAGAGAGGAGCAGCCGGCGCCCGAACGCUGGCAUCAGCUCCCCAUACUGGCAGGACUUGUGCUUGUUUUUGGCAGAGGAGACCACAGCAGCUGCUGAAGUAGCCCAGUGGUGAGACAUGGGUGUUAUUUCUGGCUGUGAGAUUACAAACCUAUGAAAUUCCUUCUCUGUACAAACUAGAAUAUGUGGAAGAGAGUCUGUUAUUUCUAUAUUUUAAAAAC
rnacentral:lncRNA from 1 species